rnacentral:rRNA from 1 species
ACGGAAGGCAGCAGUGGGGAAUAUUGGGCAAUGGGCGAAAGCCUGACCCAGCAACGCCGCGUGAAGGAAGAAGGCCUUCGGGUUGUAAACUUCUUUUACCAGGGACGAAGGACGUGACGGUACCUGGAGAAAAAGCAACGGCUAACUACGUGCCAGCAGCCGCGGUAAUACGUAGGUUGCAAGCGUUGUCCGGAUUUACUGGGUGUAAAGGGAGCGUAGACGGCAAAGCAAGUCUGAAGUGAAAUGCGGGGGCUUAACCCCUGAACUGCUUUGGAAACUGUUUAGCUAGAGUGCAGGAGAGGUAAGCGGAAUUCCUAGUGUAGCGGUGAAAUGCGUAGAUAUUAGGAGGAACACCAGUGGCGAAGGCGGCUUACUGGACUGUAACUGACGUUGAGGCUCGAAAGCGUGGGGAGCAAACAGGAUUAGAUACCCUGGUA